rnacentral:rRNA from 1 species
UUUAUCGGAGAGUUUGAUCCUGGCUCAGGACGAACGCUGGCGGCGUGCCUAAUACAUGCAAGUCGAGCGGACAGAUGGGAGCUUGCUCCCUGAUGUUAGCGGCGGACGGGUGAGUAACACGUGGGUAACCUGCCUGUAAGACUGGGAUAACUCCGGGAAACCGGGGCUAAUACCGGAUGCUUGAUUGAACCGCAUGGUUCAAUUAUAAAAGGUGGCUUUUAGCU